GACGAACGCUGGCGGCGUGCUUAACACAUGCAAGUCGAGCGGUAAGGCCCUUUCGGGGGUACACGAGCGGCGAACGGGUGAGUAACACGUGGGUGACCUGCCCUUAGCUCUGGGAUAAGCCUGGGAAACUGGGUCUAAUACCGGAUAUGACUCCAUGACGCAUGUUGUGGGGUGGAAAGCCUUGUGCGGCUAGGGAUGGGCCCGCGGCCUAUCAGCUUGUUGGUGGGGUGAUGGCCACCAAGGCGACGACGGGUAGCCGGCCUGAGAGGGCGACCGGCCACACUGGGACUGAGACACGGCCCAGACUCCUACGGGAGGCAGCAGUGGGGAAUCUUGCGCAAUGGCCGAAAGGCUGACGCAGCGACGCCGCGUGUGGGAGGACGCCUCGGUCGGUAACG
rnacentral:rRNA from 1 species